UACGUAGGGUGCAAGCGUUGUCCGGAAUUAUUGGGCGUAAAGAGCUCGUAGGCGGUUUGUCGCGUCUGCCGUGAAAGUCCGGGGCUCAACUCCGGAUCUGCGGUGGGUACGGGCAGACUAGAGUGAUGUAGGGGAGACUGGAAUUCCUGGUGUAGCGGUGAAAUGCGCAGAUAUCAGGAGGAACACCGAUGGCGAAGGCAGGUCUCUGGGCAUUAACUGACGCUGAGGAGCGAAAGCAUGGGGAGCGAACAGGAUUAGAACCUACGU
rnacentral:rRNA from 1 species